rnacentral:rRNA from 1 species
GACGAACGCUGGCGGCGUGCUUAACACAUGCAAGUCGUACGGUAAGGCCCUUUCGGGGGUACACGAGCGGCGAACGGGUGAGUAACACGUGAGUAACCUGCCCACAACUUUGGGAUAACGCUAGGAAACUGGUGCUAAUACUGGAUAUGUGCUCCUGCUGCAUGGUGGGGGUUGGAAAGCUCCGGCGGUUGUGGAUGGACUCGCGGCCUAUCAGCUUGUUGGUGGGGUAGUGGCCUACCAAGGCGGCGACGGGUAGCCGGCCUGAGAGGGUGACCGGCCACAUUGGGACUGAGAUACGGCCCAGACUCCUACGGGAGGCAGCAGUGGGGAAGAUUGCACAAUGGGCGCAAGCCUGAUGCAGCAACGCCGCGUGCGGGAUGACGGCCUUCGGGUUGUAAACCGCUUUCAGCAGGGACGAAGCUUUUUGUGACGGUACCUGCAGAAGAAGCACCGGCUAACUACGUG